rnacentral:rRNA from 1 species
UGAGGAAUAUUGGUCAAUGGGGGCAACCCUGAACCAGCCAAGUCGCGUGAAGGAUGAAGGUCUUAUGGAUUGUAAACUUCUUUUAUACAGGAAUAAAUUGGGGGACGUGUCCCCUUUUGCAUGUACUGUAUGAAUAAGGAUCGGCUAACUCCGUGCCAGCAGCCGCGGUAAUACGGAGGAUCCGAGCGUUAUCCGGAUUUAUUGGGUUUAAAGGGUGCGCAGGCGGGAUGUUAAGUCGGCGGUGAAAUUUUGCAGCUCAACUGUAAAAGUGCCGUCGAUACUGGCUUCCUUGAGUGUAGAUGAAGUAGGCGGAAUUUGUGGUGUAGCGGUGAAAUGCUUAGAUAUCACGAGGAACUCCGAUUGCGCAGGCAGCUUACUAAACUACAACUGACGCUCAUGCACGAAGGCGUGGGGAUCAAACA